GUGGGGAAUAUUGGACAAUGGGCGAAAGCCUGAUCCAGCCAUGCCGCGUGUGUGAAGAAGGUCUUCGGAUUGUAAAGCACUUUAAGUUGGGAGGAAGGGCAGUAAGUUAAUACCUUGCUGUUUUGACGUUACCAACAGAAUAAGCACCGGCUAACUUCGUGCCAGCAGCCGCGGUAAUACGAAGGGUGCAAGCGUUAAUCGGAAUUACUGGGCGUAAAGCGCGCGUAGGUGGUUCAGCAAGUUGGAGGUGAAAUCCCCGGGCUCAACCUGGGAACUGCCUCCAAAACUACGGAGCUAGAGUACGGUAGAGGGUAGUGGAAUUUCCUGUGUAGCGGUGAAAUGCGUAGAUAUAGGAAGGAACACCAGUGGCGAAGGCGACUACCUGGACUGAUACUGACACUGAGGUGCGAAAGCGUGGGGAGCAAACAGGAUUAGAAACCCCAGUAGUCC
rnacentral:rRNA from 1 species